rnacentral:rRNA from 1 species
GGGCUUGACAUCCCACGAACCUGCCCGAAAGGGUUGGGUGCCCGCAAGGGAGCGUGGAGACAGGUGGUGCAUGGCUGUCGUCAGCUCGUGUCGUGAGAUGUUGGGUUAAGUCCCGCAACGAGCGCAACCCUCACCCCUUGUUGCCACCGGGUCAUGCCGAGCACUCUAGGGGAACUGCCAGCGUCAAGCUGGAGGAAGGCGGGGAUGACGUCAAGUCAUCAUGCCCCUUACGCCCUGGGCUACACACGUGCUACAAUGGCUGGUACAAAGGGAUGCGAGACCGCGAGGUGGAGCUAAUCCCAAAAAACCGGUCUAAGUUCAGAUUGCAGUCUGCAACUCGACUGCAUGAAGGAGGAAUCGCUAGUAAUCGCGCAUCAGCACGGCGCGGUGAAUACGUUCCCGGGCCUUGUACACACCGCCCGUCACACCACGAAAGUCAGCUGUACUCGAAGUCGCUGAG